UGAAGAGAAUACAGAGCAAAAGCACUAAGUUUUCAAUAGUACCUUCUAGACUUACAUUUAUGUAGCAUUCAUUUCACUGCAGCCUCAUCUAAAUAAGGGCAGUAACAUCUUUCAGAGCAUCAAGAUGACUGGCAACACAGAAGCAGGGAAAACUCCCCCGAGGUGCCGUUGUUACAGAAAAUUAUGUUCUUCAUCAGAAUACCCAAUUGGCAGCUUCAUCUUCUUAUUUUAGUAGUUUAAUUCCCCAAUAACUGUUCAGACUAGUGCAGUCUGCAGUAUUCCCAUUUCUUCCUCUUCCUGAUCUCAAGGCCACAUUCAAUCCUUGGAAUUUACUUGUAAUUCUUCAGCACUUACAGCCUUGAAAGGUGGUGUGCUUGCACCUGUACCCACUGUAACACUCUUUAAAGCAUGAUUUCAGCAAGCGUUAGUUUCCAGCUGUGCUGAGUGUGAUCCAUUUAUCUAAAAAGCAUUUUAGAAAACCCAGGCCAGAGCACCCAAGCUGAGCAUUGCAGUUACUUCAGAGAUGACCUACAUGAGCCACCCUGACACUUCACCACCAUUCAGGUGCUGGUACUCUUAACACCCUACUUGUAAGAGAAAGCAGUGUUCUAUUUUACAUGAUAGCCAAUUUGAUCCAAUUUAAUGGCAGCCUAUAGAGCAGUAACUGACUGCUCUUCCAGUCUGCCUCAGCCCAGGUACCAAACACUCAAAAACAAAAGCUCAAUUUCUACUUAAGACUCAGCUUCACUGUUAAGAGGAAAAAAAACAAAGUCUACUUCCUUAGCAGUGUUUCCAAGGUUAAUACCAAAAAGCAUGAUCCAACACAAGAUUCAGGACACCUCGUUUAAGUUUUAAACAUGGAAAAGUUUUCUAAAAAGCAUCCUUUCAGCUGCAAGUAACAAACUGUAGGCAAGACUAAGAGAGACUCAAGCUUGCCAUGUGUGCAAUUCAGUUCAGUCACUGAGCCCUAACCUAUUUAGAACAAAAGCAGAAGCAGCCUUCUAAUUUAAGAGAAAUUCUAGCCUUGUCUGCACAUGCUUGCUUCAGACUCUAGCUCAGUCAUUUGGCACAACUUCCAGAUCAAUAGUUUUCAGUUGCUGUGCAGCAGUGAAGACUGAUAAAAACCUCCAAUGAACAGCAAUCACAAUUAGAACUGCAUGCAAAAUCCUACAAAACAUUUUAAGGGCUUUCUUAAUAAACUACACUGACUUGUUCCUACCGUA